rnacentral:lncRNA from 7 species
AUGUAUAGAGCCAGGUGCCAACUCACUCUUCUCCUUGGCCAUGUGUGAAGCUGAGCAGGUUCAGCAUUUUUGCCACCCUUGCUGGGCCGGGACUGUCCUGCAGUCUGUGGCUGUUGCUUUGCCUCCAAGUGUAUAAAUGCCAAUCACUUUCUUCCAGUUUUCUGCCUUUGGACCAGCUCUGUGUGCCUCCUUCCCCAGGCCUGGAUCUCAUGGUGGUGCUCAUGCUACAGAAGAUGCUGUGCAGGGAUGAUGAUGGCAACAGGAGCCUGAGAUGUGAAAGCUGCUGAAGCUCCAUUGGAAGCACAGCUUCUUUGUUUCACCAAAAACCAUUCCAUCAGAGGGUUUCUCCCCACUGCCAAGUGCCACGAUGCACACCUGGGGCAUCACUGUGCUAGGCUGGGACCUGCAGGGCUCGCUGUUGUCUUCCAGUUCCUGCUCCUGCUCUACUCUUCCCUGUUCCCUGUGGGAAUGCUGAGUUGAAGGAUGGAGCACGGGGUGCUGGCGUGGCACUGCCUUCCCUAUCAGAGCUGGAGAUGAAGCCGGGAUGUGCGGCACAUGGGACAUACAGCAGGUCUCAGUGUGGGGCAACAAGUCAGUCCUGUGCUGUCAGCUGGUGUCACCAUGAGGAUGUGAUGGGAGAAGGGUUGGACCUGCAGGACCCUGUGCUGCAUGCACAGCCAUGGUGGUUGUCCUUAUCACCGGUCAGUGCAAAUCACUGCAAGACGAUUUCACUGGGUAUCAUCUUGUCCUUGUGCUGCUGCUGCAAAAGAAAGCAGUUGCAAUGGAGUCUGCUUCUCACUUGCUUAGUGCUAAUUUCUCUUUUUUUUUCCCCCUCUACUUCCUGUUCAUUGGUGGUGGGUUGCUGGGGGAGGGCAUCUGCACCAGUAGGAGAUUCAGAGUCUGUAACAGGAGGGAUGGUAUCUGAGUUCUUGUACUUUAGAAGGCUGCAGUAAUCCCCAGCUCAUUACAGCUGGGCUGGUGCAGUGGGAAAUUGGGACAGAUGUUGGACAGAUGGUGACCCUCUGCUGUUGGGAUCACUGCUGCUGGUUGGUAUAAAGCAGUGUUGUGGGGUUUUUUUUUUUUUUUUAAUAUUAGAGUAGGCUGUGAUGCUUCUUUACCAGGGUGGAGAGGCAUCACAUCUGCCAUUCUUUGUUAACAAUACUGUGAUUUGAUCACCCUGGCAGUCUGGUCAUCAGUCCCAUAAACCAAUACUAAUAGCAACACUGGUGCUGUGCCCCACAGAGGGCUUUGGGUUGGCCCUGGGGCCUGUGACCACUGACCGGGUUUUGCUGAUGGGUGACAAAGCCCCUGCCUGGCAGCAAGGGGCUGUGUGAGGAUGCUACUGUCCUGCUCAACUGCAGCGAAACAGGACUGGCUCAGAGAUGGGAGGCUUUAUCUCAAGUGAGAAAGCAUCCUGGAGUGAUGAAGGACCGGUGGGUUUUGGGGAGUUCAUUGUUUUAAUGGCAGCGGUGUUACAGGAUUGCAUGUGCUCAGACUGCCCUGCAUUGAGCUGCUCUAUUGAUCAUUGCUUUGAUUCCUGCUGGUUUAUUUACUUGCUUGAUAAUAAUUUGCUUAAUAAAGCCUUGCUGUGGUG